rnacentral:lncRNA from 10 species
GCGUGGCGACGUGGGCUCGUGCGGCCGCUUUCGCCCAGCAUCGACUGGGAGCUCCCUCGGGAUCCGGAGAACCGGAAUGCAGUCCUAGCCCUGCCCUUAAUUUUUUUCAUAUUUGCCUUCGUCCAGUAAUACCUAACAUUUGUGGAGCGUUUCUGGGUUUGGUGACCUGUGAUUUUUGUGCCAGAGAUGACACAUGCGCCUGUUGGAAUUGGCACCUGGCCUGGCUGCAACAGACUUGUCCUGCUCCACAACCUGCAAAUGACUCCACAGCUGGAAGAAUUUGAAGCCCAGCUCAUUUUUGUUUUGCUUUUCCUUUCUAGACUUACAUAUUAAACAUAUUUGCCUUGGAAGAAAAAA